rnacentral:sRNA from 1 species
UGAAACUGAACAGACCUUCGGGACACCA